rnacentral:rRNA from 1 species
GACAGAGGGCGCGAGCGUUGUUCGGAAUCACUGGGCGUAAAGCGCGCGCAGGCGGACCAGGCAAGUCUGGAGUGAAAUCUCGCCGCUUCAACGGCGAGGCUGCUUUGGAAACUGCGGGUCUGGAGACCGGUAGAGGCUGGUAGAAUUGCAGGUGUAGCGGUGGAAUGCGUAGAGAAUCUGCAAGAAUACCCGUGGCGGAAGGCGGCCAGCUGGGCCGGUUCUGACGCUGAGG